rnacentral:rRNA from 1 species
UAAUACGUAGGUGACGAGCGUUAUCCGGAAUUACUGGGCGUAAAGCGCACGCAAGCGGCUGGACAAGUCUGGCGUGAAAUCCUCUGGCUUAACCAGGGGCGGUCGCUGGAGACUGUUCAGCUUGAGGCGAUGAGAGGGGUGCAGAAUUCCCGGUGUAGUGGUGGAAUGCGUAGAUAUCGGGAGGAAUACCAGUGGCGAAAGCGGCACCCUGGCGUCGUACUGACGCACAUGUGCGAAAGCGUGGGGAGCGAACGGGAUUAGAUACCCCGGUAGUCCACGCGGUAAACGAUGAACACUAGGUGUGGGUGGAGUCAAUCUGUCCGUGCCAAAGCCAACGCGUUAAGUGUUCCGCCUGGGAAGUACGGCCGCAAGGCUA